CAAUAGCGUAUAUUAAAGCUGUUGCGGUUAAAAAGCUCGUAGUUGGAUUUCUGUCAAGUACAACUGGUCCGCCCUCCGGGUGAGCACAUAGUUUGGUCUUGGCAUCUUGCUGGAAAUUGUUGCUGCACUUGGCUGUGUGGCGCAGUGUCCAGCACUUUCACUUUGAGGAAAUUGGAGUGUUUCAAGCAGGCAAUGCCUUUGAACACAGUAGCAUGGAAUAAUUAGAUUGGGCUUUUGCUCCAAUUUGUCGGUUUCUGGAGCUGAGGUGAGAAUUAAUGGGGAUUGUUGGGGGCAUCCGAAUUUAGCCGUCAGAGGUGAGAUUCUUGGAUCGGCUAAAGACGGACAACUGCGAAAGCGUUUGCCCAGGAUGUUUUCAUUGA
rnacentral:rRNA from 1 species